UCCGGUUUAUCACCGGCAGUCUCGCCAGAGUGCCCAACUGAAUGAUGGCAACUGGCAAUAAGGGUUGCGCUCGUUGCGGGACUUAACCCAACAUCUCACGACACGAGCUGACGACAGCCAUGCAGCACCUAUAUAGCACCCCUUGCGGGAAGGGAUAUUUCUACCCCGAUGCACUACAUUUCGAGCCCAGGUAAGGUUCUUCGCGUUGCGUCGAAUUGAACCACAUGCUCCACCGCUUGUGCGGGCCCCCGUCAAUUCCUUUGAGUUUCAGUCUUGCGACCGUACUCCCCAGGCGGAUUGCUUAUCGCGUUAGCUGCGGCACGAUCGGAUUGGGUACCGAUCACACCAAGCAAUCAUCGUUUAGGGCUAGGACUAC
rnacentral:misc_RNA from 1 species